rnacentral:rRNA from 1 species
UACGUAGGCAGCGAGCGUUGUUCGGAAUUACUGGGCGUAAAGAGUGUGUAGGCGGUGCUCCAAGUUCGGUGUGAAAUCUCCCGGCUCAACUGGGAGGGUGCGCCGGAAACUGGAGUGCUUGAGCGUGGGAGAGGAAAGCGGAAUUCCUGGUGUAGCGGUGAAAUGCGUAGAUAUCAGGAGGAACACCGGUGGCGAAGGCGGGUCUCUGGGCCGAUACUGACGCUGAGGAGCGAAAGCGUGGGGAGCGAACAGG